GUGGUUAAUUAUGGGAUGCCGAAUGUAAAUGUUCAGUCACACUUUUCCUGCAGAUAUAUAUUUUUUCAGAUUUAGCAAAUUUUUAUGACAUUUACAAAUGUGAAAUCCAAACCUAAAUAUUACAUCUGAACCUAAAUGUUACAAGUUUGGAACUAAAACAUAUGCAACUUUAUUGGCAUUAUAUGUCAUUCAUCUGUCAUGUUUCCUUCUUCCGCUGUCAGAAAGGUGUAGGAGUGUCUGCACUGAGAGGCAUAGAAUUGGUGGAAUAUUGACAUUCUAUAAGUAUUCAUCUUUACACUUGGCGAGAGAUUUAACGCUCACAUUUAGAUUUAGAUUGAACUUUUAGCGCUCACAUUUAUAUGUAUAUAUAAAAUGUGUCUCGCCCCUUGGAAGGCUUCACAAUGCUGAGCACUUCUUGUAGGUAACUGUACAUACCACUUGUCGCCAGCAACAGGGGCCAUUGCAACACUUCGGUCAUAAUUUAAUACAUCAUAAUGGAUGUUUUGCGCAUCGAUACAUACACCCCCCUUAAAUUAUGCUAGAGUGAGGCAUAACACAAAGAACAGCAUCAAAUACUAACAAUAGGAAUCAUAUGUGGACCUAGGGAAAUGAUGUACAAUCGAAAAAGUCAAUGUCAGAAAUGUUUCCUCAAGUGUGUAGGCUCAGGAUGGUAACAAAACUACCCAUCAUAGACCAUUAGAAAUGCCAUAUACAGUUCACAUACUCAUACAUACAGUAUCUAUGCCCUGUAGUGCAGCUUUUAGGGUCCAGCAUAGCAAAUCAGUUCACAUUAGUAAAUUGUCACAAUACAAGUUAACAAUACCACCUUUCGUUACAACACCCAAUUGAAGCAAUUACACCCAUACUAACGGUGAUAGCACAACCCUCUGGAAUGACAUCUCCCAAAUAAGCCUAAUGGGUGACCUAAUACUUCUCAAACUGCUUGUGGAAACUAAAGGGCCUUGUGUGUCUUAUGGGUGUGUGUAGACAACCUCUUCUAACUCAACCUCAAACGGAACGAGUUGUUCACGGCAAUAGGUAGGUUAAAUGUGGUGUGUGAACUACUGCUUUAAAUGAUAGUUCAGUGCGUGCAUGACUCAUGUGGCUGUUUUCAGAUCCAGCAGGAAGGUUGUUCGACAAUUGCAAAGACUGGUCUUCCACAAUGGCAUCCACUUGAAAGUCAUUAUUGGAACUAUCAUCUUCAGAUUCUUCAUUACUUCCCGCCUCUGCAAAAACCAAUGACUGCAUGAGCCAUUCCUCAGUGUGCGCUCGAGUGUCCUCUUGAUCACACAAAAUGCUGCUCUGGGCACCGCCACAAUACGAUCUGACUGUGACUGCCCUGAGACUGCUUGGAACUCAUCCUGCUCUUGGAAAGUCAGGAAAUCAACUGGGAGCAGCAAAUUCCAGUACACAACCUUUUCUUUUCCUAUGGCAUCACAGAUUCUGUACACGUUGAUCAUUGACCUCAUGGACACCACAUCAAAAGGGGUUGAUUCCCAUCGGUCUGAAACUUUCCUGUUGCCUUCCUCACAUCGAUUGGCAAGCAGCACUCUGUCACCCACAGCCAAUGGUGACCCUCUGACCUUACGGUUGCAAGUCAGGAAACUUCAUGCCUACAUGAUGCGCCACCUUUGGGCCAUCAUGAGCAUCUCCUGGAGAGACAAAUUCCCGAAGACAGAGGUCCUAAGUCGUGCUGGACUGCCAUCGAUGGAUGACAUGCUAACCCAAACGAACCUGAGAUGGGUCGGGCAUGUAGAGAGAAUGAGCCACGAGCGGCUCCCUCGGCAUCUGCUCUACUCACAGCUGGAUGAAGGGAAACGAAACCGAGGAAGCCAAGGCUACGGUACAAGAACACCGUUAACGGAAUUUCAGGGAACUGAAGAUUGACACUGCAACCUAGCAACUCCAGUCAUUGUCACGCCCGACCAUACUUGCCAACCCUCCCGAUUUUUCCGUGAGACUCCCGAAUUUCAGUGCCCCUCCCGAAAAUCUCCCGGGGCAACCAUUCUCCUGAUUUUCACCCGGACAACAAUAUUAAGGGCGUGCCGUGAUGGCACUGCCUUUAGCGUCCUCUACAACCUGUCUACGCGUCCGCUUUUUCACCAUACAAACAGCGUGUCGGCCCAGUUACAUGUUGUGUGCGGCUUCUGCAUACACACGAAAGUGACUGCAAGACAUACUUGAUCAACAGCCAUACAGGUCACACUGAGGGUGACAGUAUAAACAACUUUAACACUGUUACAAAUAUGCGCCACACUGUGAACCCACACCAAACAAGAAUGACAAACACAUUCCGGGAGAACUUCCGCACCGUAACACAACAUAAACACAACAGAACAAAUACCCAGAAUCCCUUGCAUCCCUAACUCUUCCGGGCUACAAUAUACACCCCCGCUACUACCAAACCCAGCCCCCCCAACCCCCCAAUCUCCCGAAUUCGAAGGUCUCAAGGUUGGCAAGUAUGCGCCCGACAGACUGCUAUGAGAUAAUACAUUAAAGUGCAGUUUGAAUUUGAGGUACUGUAAAAUGUGUCCAAAAAAUGUAACAAUUAUGUCAGGGACAAAAUGUAUCCACAAACAAACAAAAAGAACAUGUUAGUUUAGUUCAUGUUAUAUCAAAGGAGUUGAAUUUUGGCAGACACAAACAAAAAGUCUGAUUAAAAAAUAUUUAGAUAUAAAAUUGCCUUUUCUGAUUAAAUUAGUGGGUGUGUUGAUGUUUCCAGUCGGGACCAAUAAAGUCACGUAGACGUUCUCUGAGUGCCUGCAAGUCCGCAUUCUGGGCAAGAUUACUGGUGAGCUUAAGCAGAUAGUGAAAGUAAAGUUGCUGCUCCUUUUAAAUGCUGUGUUUCAACCUUUAUGCGAGUGUUAGUCAUAUGUCUUUAUUUUGUUCUUCUGGGCUGCACUUCCAGCUGUGUAAGGGGAAGAGGCACAAUGAAAGUCAGGUAGAAGACAUGCUUGUCUACCUCAGAGGCAGAGCAAAAGAUGUUGUGAAGUUUGGCACAAGGAAUAGUGCCAUUGAUGUUACUAUGAAUCCAGAUGCAAUCUAUAGCCUUCUUCCUAAACAUUUUGCUGCUGUGCCCUGUUCACCUUUUCCCCUAGCAGACUUCAUUCACAGUAAUUAUCAUAUUCACAUUUAGUUAAAUCUGCGAUGAUCCUUUUUUUUAAAAUAUGCAAAAUAAACAGAAAACACAUUCACAAUAUUUUCCAAGAUGUCCCUGAACACACCUCGCAUUACAAGAUAGCUGCUUCAACCCAUGCUGUUGACAAACCAGGCUGCGUUAGCAUUAUCAUCAUAGAAACAAGGGACGACACUUAUAUUGACAAUAAAACAAUUACAUCGGCAUGAAAAAUAGUAUUACCUUCAACACAGUGCAAAUUGUGAGACUGUGAGUCCACUUGCGUCGCAGGAUUUUCUAAAUAACACAUCAACGAUCAAGAGCUAGUACAACACAUUAAAAGUGCAUUUUUGUCUUCAAAAUAUCACUGCAAGAUACAGUUUUGGUUAAUAACAAUUAGCGAACAUUCUUAUGUGUGCAUUGCAAAGUACUAUACUAAAUAUGAAUUCAUCAUAUGAUUAAUUAAAAAAUGUGUCUCACCACU